GACGAACGCUGGCGGCGUGCCUAACACAUGCAAGUCGAACGGGACCAGGGGCAACUCUGGUUCAGUGGCGGACGGGUGCGUAACACGUGAGGAACAUGACCUUCGGCGGGGGAGUAGCCGGCCCAACGGCCGGGUAAUACCGCGUACGACCUUCCGGGGACAUCCCUGGAUGGUGAAAGACAGCAAUGCGCCGAUGGAGUGCCUCGCGGCCUAUCAGCUAGUUGGUGAGGUAACGGCNCACCAAGGCAACGACGGGUAGCUGGUCUGAGAGGAUGGCCAGCCACAUUGGGACUGAGACACGGCCCAGACUCCUACGGGAGGCAGCAGUGGGGAAUAUUGCGC
rnacentral:rRNA from 1 species